UCUCCUGGGAAAAGGGUGGUAAUGCCGGAUGCUCCGACUCCUCGCAUGGGGUGUCGGGAAAGAUUUCAUCGGUAUGGGAUGGGGUCGCGUCCUAUCAGGUAGUCGGCGGGGUAACGGCCCACCGAGCCUACGACGGGUAGCCGGCCUGAGAGGGCGACCGGCCACAUUGGGACUGAGAUACGGCCCAGACUCCUACGGGAGGCAGCAGUGGGGAAUAUUGCACAAUGGGCGCAAGCCUGAUGCAGCGACGCCGCGUGCGGGAUGACGGCCUUCGGGUUGUAAACCGCUUUUGAUCGGGAGCAAGCCUUCGGGUGAGUGUACCUUUCGAAUAAGCACCGGCUAACUACGUGCCAGCAGCCGCGGUAAUACGUAGGGUGCAAGCGUUAUCCGGAAUUAUUGGGCGUAAAGGGCUCGUAGGCGGUUCGUCGCGUCCGGUGUGAAAGUCCAUCGCUUAACGGUGGAUCUGCGCCGGGUACGGGCGGGCUGGAGUGCGGUAGGGGAGACUGGAAUUCCCGGUGUAACGGUGGAAUGUGUAGAUAUCGGGAAGAACACCAACCG
rnacentral:rRNA from 1 species